GAUAUGAUUCAGAUCCACUUCAGGUCCUGUGAGGCGAUGCCAUCAAUCAUGGAACUGAAGCUCUUGAUAAUUUUCCUCAUGUUCUUUCCAACAUAUAUUUCCUCGCAGAUUACCCUAACUGAGUCUGGUGGUGGUGUAAAGAGCCCAGGAGAGACAUUACAACUGACCUGUACUGUGACUGGGUUUUCUUUAACAAGCAACGCAGUGAGCUGGGUCCGUCAAGCGCCAGAAAUGGGACUGGAGUGGGCUGGAGUUAUGUGGAGUGGUGGAGGCACAAACUAUAACCCUGCUCUACAAAGCCGGAUCAGCAUCACAAGAGACACCUCACAAAAUCAGGUGUCCCUGCAACUGAGUGGCCUGACGCUUGAAGACACUGCCAUGUAUUUCUGUGCAAGAGACACACAGUGAGGAAAAGCUGUUGAAAGGCAGUGCAAAAUCUCCUCUUCCUGAAAACCAAGCAUGAGUCACUCCUGGGUUUGUGUUGAACAGCUGGCAACAAAGUUACUUUUUCAUCUUGUCACUUUCUUCCACCACAAAUACAUGGUGCCCCACAGGUCUGUUUUGCAACAAUAAAUUGCCAUUCAAAUGCUAUACAGUAGGGCCCCGCUUACCGGCACUUCGCAUUCCGGCGUUCCACUAAUGCGGUGGCAGGAAAGACCUCACAAGACCUCACAAGAGAC